AUAUAUUGUUCUAGCGGAAGGCUUCAGCAACCAAGGUAAGGCUCUCAUGGCUCAAUCAAACUGCUUAGCUCUCUAGAAUCCACUACUCUUUGAAAUUUGUUCUUUUCAUCAGCAGACAAAUCAUCAAAAUUAAUUUGGACUCCUGUAGAGAAAAGUAGACAAUAAAAUCAGAUCAGAUUGAAGUAAUAUAACCAAAAAUAAUAAAAUUAGGCAAACACAUGAUUUAGGGGUGAAACAAGAUUAAGUUUGCAAAAUUUAAUAAUGAAAGAGACACAGGCAACACCGCUAAUACCAGACAUAAUCUUUUGAAUAGUCUUCUCUAAUAAUGUUGAAUCUGAGAAAUUUGUGCUUUGUACUUUGUUUUCAUGAACCAUUUAUUAUUUAUUUUACCAGCCUUUUUUAUUGCCUUUCUUGAGACCUUUUUUUCUUAGAUUGAUUGAACUUAGCAUUAUAAAGUCUAAAGUAGUAAAAUGGAUGUUUUUUAUAGUUUGGUAGUUCUAGCAUUCUGAAAAAUCUGAAAUAACUCUGCUAUUUUGCUAACCUUUAUGACACACAAAAAACUCUUCAGAGUUGAGUUUAAGGUCUAUUUGAAUGCAAUGUCUACACAAGAGAACUAUCUAACUCUCAUAGCUUAACAUAUUUUAUGAUAAAUAAUUAGAUGAAAUUUCAUUUUGUAGUGGAAUGAUUACAGGGGAUUUAGCUUAAAUGACGAAUUUGUCAUGAAUUGCUAAUUCUAGAUUAUACUAUGCUAUUAUUAUUGGCUUAAAUAUUUUUGGUUAUGGACAAAUUUCGCAAAGUUUUUUUUUUCAAAAACUAAUAGAGAAACGUGUUAGAGAAUAACAACACAACGAAAAACAAUAGCAAAGAAAAAAUUAAAAGAAAACAAUCGUACAAGACAUAAGAUUUACGUGGUUCACCAAAAAAAUUAAAAUGAAAUUUUAAUAUUUAUAUUAAUUUAGUUUAAAGAAAUUUGAGUUGUGUUGGUCUAUAUGCACACCUUUCAAUCCUACUCGACAAUUUCGGUAAAAGAAAAAGAGACAUCAAAGCAAAAAAAAAAUUCACUAAACAAAAUUAAAUCUUGAAGGGGAAAUGAUUGGCUUAUUUUCAAUUGGUCUCACUAGAUUUUGUAUCCAUAAUCUACAUUGCAGUUAAGGAAGCAUUUUAGGGUAUGUUUUGUUAUAGUGUUUAUAGUAUUUGCUACAACAAUGUUUAGUGCGUUUGGUCACUAUAAGGUGAUUUUAAAUUCAAACUUUACUUUUAUGAAUUAAACUUUACUUUGAACAGACAAUAAGUGAUUUAAAGUGAUUCAAAAUGAUUUAAAGUGAUUCAGGUUAAAAGUGAUUUAAAAAAGUGAUUAUUUUAAUAAAAAGAGUUGCUAUAUUAAGACCCUGCUAAAAUAGAUGAAGACAAACUUUGUACGUAACAUGGAUAGAAGAGGACCUUUUAGUGAUAGACAUUGACAUUGUUCUUCGGUGGUAUCUGUAAGAUCACCUUCAAGACCAAUUAUGCAGUACAUAGAUUUGUCACAUCUUAAGCCAGUCUCAAUGGCCCUCAAGCUCAGAACUCAUAAAAGCACUAAUUCUUUUUUGAAAUUCUUUUAUUAGGUCUCUAAGAGGCCUUUCUACAAAUAUGACAGGAACUGUUUUGUAUCCAUGUUAAAUAGGUCAUAGAUAGUGUUAGGAUUUUGAUGAUCAAAUCUUAAUUCAAAUACAUGUAAAUGCUCUUAAUGUUAGGAGUUUCUAUAUUGCAAGGAAGUUUCUAUUGUAUAAAGGGUCUUACAAUUCCACCCCCCUAACAAUUGCUACAUUACUGAUAAUGAUAGUUAAUAGUAUAUUUUCAAUUAAACUUUAGACUGAUAAUGAAGUAACGCAAGGAAUAUUUUUUUAUAACUGUAGUUUCCUUGAGAUUUCUUAUAUUUUUAUUUAUGUGGCUGGGAUUUAAUCUAACGAAUAAGCCAGAAUUUUGGAUGCAGUUUUUGGAUUCCUUUGAUUCUCUAUUAUUUUAUUUCAAGAAUUAUGUUUUUUUGAAUUUAUAUUUGGUUUCUAAAAUCUCUGUAACCAUGUCCUUUCCUUUUGUCUGUUGUUUUAUCCCUGUCUCAUGUUUGUUCAAUGUUGCUGAUUCCUAUCGGGGCUUUGUUACUACAUUACUAAUUUUGAAAUAGUUAGUGCCCACUCAAGGCCAUCUGUAUUUUGGGGUUGGGUAGCAUCUCAGAGAAUGAUUCACUUUUUUUCCUCAUACUAAUAAAACAAUGGGAACUAUGUCAAAUUUUGAUUAAUUAGACCCUAAUCAAGAAUUUCAAUAUGCUACUUGAACAGAGUAAAAACGGGAGGGAAAAACAGCCCUGUACGAGUCUAGAGCAGAACUUUAACCAUGAUAAUUUUCCAUUUUGCUUAGAAAUUCCUCUAAAAGCAUAAGCUCAUAUUAGCUAACCAUUUUUAUUCAUAUUAGCUAAGCAGUAGGUGUAAAUUCUUUGAACAGCAGUCUGCAACAACCACCUAUAUUUGGGAUCCCCUCAACCUAUGGAUAGAAUUGGAUCAUUCACUAUCGUGCUAAAACCCAAGUAACCAUGAUUGACCAAUACAUGAAAAAAUAAAGACAACCAAAACAGAUGUUAGAUUUUGUUUUAAGAGUAGUAAACAUGCUAAAAGCGUACUUCAUUUUUGUUUAGCCGAUUGAAGACAAUUGUACAUCUCAUUUUUGUUCAAGAACUUAACAAUACAAGAAAACAAAGUAGAAUUUGUGGGGCAAAAUUAAUAAAAUAAUCUAAAUUUCCAAGCGAAGGAUCAGAACCAUAUUUGUAAACUGACUAAUUUAUGAGAAACACGUGUUCCAGCAAAACCUCAACUUUCUUCCAACUCGGUGACAACCCUUUUGCUUCCAUCAAGUGAGCUUCUAGCCUUCCACCUUACUUCUAGACAUUUGCUUAUUUAUUAGUAGUACAUAUAGUUCACCAUGUUUUUUUGGAUGCCUUAUCAAAUGCGAAGACCUAUAUUGUGUUGCUAAGUGGCUGAGGUUCAAAUGAUGACACUUGAUCUUACCAUAAGUUAUCUGUUUGGAUUAUAUAGUUAGAUUUUUUUUAUAGUUUGGUUACUGAGGAGCUUAAGGGUAACUUGGAUCAUAUGUGUCAAAUGCAAUGAUCCGAUUAAAACUUUGCUUUUACUUUCGGAAAUAAGAUGUGGUUUAAAAAUUGGUUCUAAGAAAUUGAUUCUAUUAAAGUUUAUUUUAUUAGUGGGAAAUUGAACAAAUCUAUGCUCUUUUUUGUUAUCCAAAUUGUUUACUAUGUUUUCUAGAAAACUAGAAUCAAAGAAUACAACAUAAAAUUGAUUUGGAGGAAGGGAAGGGAAAAACAUGUGAUUGAAUUAAAACCUGGAUCAUAUAUUUUGUUGUAAAACUCUUCUAGAGGACGAGAAAAACAUGUGAUUUGAAAAUUUCAUGUAGGUUGGAUCUAAGGUAAAGUGAAUUUAAGAUGAAACGAUUUGGGGUUAUUGUUUAAAGAGUGGUAGAAUUUGAUUUAAAAUAUAUCAAUAUUAUCUUCUAUGUAAUAAUUUGUCUCAGGUUGCAGGAUAUAUUUUUGACUCUUUAACAUUUUGACUAAGCCUUAUUAAUAGUUUUGGAUUAGGCAUUCUUACUCUUUUUUUAAUUACCUCAUUCACAUAUAUUUCUAACAUAGUUUUAUUUAAUGAUUUUGACCCUUAGGAUUUGUGUUCUCACUCUAUCUCUCUCUCUUUCACAGCAGUAGUACACACACAAAACACACACACAAUUGCACACGAAUGUUAGUUUUUUUUUUAAAUUUGGCGUCUUAUAAUUUGACUGAUUUUAUUUUUAAAAUUGCGGACACCUUUUUUUAGUCAUGGACACCUUUAUGUGGGAUCUAGAUGCACAUCUUCGGAUCGUAUUAUUGUCCUUCUACUGGAUGAUGGGUUGAAUUGCACCACAAAUAUUGUUUACCCAGAAGUUUUGUUAUAAUAUUCUUACGACAAGUAAUGGUAUAGUUUAAAUAAGUUUAUUUAUAUUGAAUUAUGUAAUCUUUUCAACAUUUCAACUUUUAAUUUUACAAUGAGGUUCAUUCUUUGUAGGAUUGGAGUGAAUUUGUCAAUGAGAACGAUAAAGUAUAUACAAUAGACCUUUGUGGAUGGGGUCGACGUAAUCAGGUAAAUCUACUUUUAUGUCACUGCAUCAAAAUAACUUUACUAUUCUUAUAAUAUAAAUAAUGUUAAAUAUAUUAUUUAUGUGAAUAAUUUAGGUGGUUGUGCAUUCUUCUCAUUGGGCAAACUGCGUUCAUAUUGAUACGAGGACAUCAAGGAUAGUGAUGAAGAGAAAGUUUGAAGGGAUGAAGAAGACAUUUAAGAGAGUUAAAUGAUAUGCAAUCUAAUACCGUCCUGUCCACCUUUGACAAUGACUAACCCAUCAUUGACCAAAUAAUUGUCUAGGUGUGAAAGUCUCAUUGACUAAGACUCUAUAUUUCUCUACUUCUCAUGCAGACACACAACACACAAAAUACAUUCAAAAACACACACAUAAUUGUAACCAUUCAAACACUCACAAAUCAAACUCACACACCAUUAUACUGCCACCAAUACUAAUUU
rnacentral:lncRNA from 1 species